rnacentral:rRNA from 1 species
AUACGGAGGGGACAAGCGUUAUUCGGAAUCACUGGGCGUAAAGGACGCGUAGGCGGGUUAUUAAGUCGGGUGUGAAAUCCAAUGGCUCAACCAUUGAACUGCAUUCGAAACUGAUAACCUAGAGUAUGGAAGGGGCAGGUGGAAUUAGUGGUGUAGGGGUAAAAUCCGUAGAUAUCACUAGGAAUACCGAAAGCGAAGGCGACCUGCUGGGACAUUACUGACGCUGAGGUACGAAAGCGUGGGGAGCGAACAGGAUUAGAUACCCUAGUAGUCC